rnacentral:rRNA from 1 species
GAUGAACGCUAGCGGCAGGCCUAAUACAUGCAAGUCGGACGGGAUUCAGGAGCUUGCUUCUGAUGAGAGUGGCGCACGGGUGCGUAACACGUAUGUAACCUACCUUUAUCAGGGGGAUAGCCUCUCGAAAGAGAGAUUAAGCCCGCAUAAAAUCACAGCCCAGCAUUGUGUAAUGAUCAAAUAUUUAUAGGAUAAAGAUGGGCAUGCGGAACAUUAGCUAGAUGGCGGGGUAACGGCAAACCAUGGCGACGAUGUUUAGGGUAUCUGAGAGGAUGGCCCCCGGAACUGGUACUGAGACACGGACCAGACUCCUACGGGAGGCAGCAGUAAGGAAUAUUGGGCAAUGGGCGGAAGCCUGAACCAGCCAUGCCGCGUGCAGGAAGACGGCCCUACGGGUUGUAAACUGCGUUUAUACGGGAAUAAACCCAGAUACGUGUAUCUGGCUGAAUGUACUGUAAGAAUAAGGAUCGGCAAACUCCGU